UACGUAGGGUGCGAGCGUUAAUCGGAAUUACUGGGCGUAAAGCGUGCGCAGGCGGUUAUGCAAGACAGAUGUGAAAUCCCCGGGCUCAACCUGGGAACUGCAUUUGUGACUGCAUGGCUAGAGUGCGGCAGAGGGGGAUGGAAUUCCGCGUGUAGCAGUGAAAUGCGUAGAUAUGCGGAGGAACACCGAUGGCGAAGGCAAUCCCCUGGGCCUGCACUGACGCUCAAGUGCGAAAGCGUGGGGAGCAAACAGG
rnacentral:rRNA from 1 species